rnacentral:rRNA from 1 species
UUUAUGGAGAGUUUGAUCCUGGCUCAGGAUGAACGCUGGCGGCGUGCCUAAUACAUGCAAGUCGAGCGAACAGACGGGGAGCUUGCUCCCCCGACGUUAGCGGCGGACGGGUGAGUAACACGUGGGUAACCUACCUAUAAGACUGGAAUAACUCCGGGAAACCGGAGCUAAUGCCGGAUAACAUGUUGGACAGCAUGGUCCUACAGUGAAAGACGGUCUUG